rnacentral:rRNA from 1 species
UGGGGAAUUUUGGACAAUGGGCGAAAGCCUGAUCCAGCAAUGCCGCGUGUGUGAAGAAGGCCUUCGGGUUGUAAAGCACUUUUGUCCGGAAAGAAAUCCUUGGCUCUAAUACAGUCGGGGGAUGACGGUACCGGAAGAAUAAGCACCGGCUAACUACGUGCCAGCAGCCGCGGUAAUACGUAGGGUGCAAGCGUUAAUCGGAAUUACUGGGCGUAAAGCGUGCGCAGGCGGUUUGCUAAGACCGAUGUGAAAUCCCCGGGCUCAACCUGGGACUGCAUUGGUGACUGGCAGGCUAGAGUAUGGCAGAGGGGGGUAGAAUUCCACGUGUAGCAGUGAAAUGCGUAGAGAUGUGGAGGAAUACCGAUGGCGAAGGCAGCCCCCUGGCAAGUACUGACGCUCAUGCACGAAAGCGUGGGGAGCAAACAGGAUUAGAUACCCCUGGUAGUCCACGCCCUAAACGAUGUCAACUAGUUGUUGGGGAUUCAUUUCCUUAGUAACGUAGCUAACGCGUGAAGUUGACCGCCUGGGGAGUACGGUCGCAAGAUUAAAACUCAAAUAAUUGACGGGGUCAUAGCUGUUUCCU